CAGAGUUGCAAAACUCCCUAAACCAUUGUGAACCGUACCACUAAACAGUUGCUUCGGCGGGUGGCCCGAGGGUCCCUUCACGGGGGCCAUGAGCGCCCAUAGAGGCAGCCCGCCGGAGGUACUCAAACUCUUGAUUACCACUAUGGCCUCUCUGAGUAUUGUACUGAAUAAGUCA
rnacentral:misc_RNA from 1 species